rnacentral:rRNA from 1 species
GACGAACGCUGGCGGCGUGCUUAACACAUGCAAGUCGAACGAUGAAGCCCAGCUUUCAGGGUGGAAGAGUGGUGAACGUGUGAGUAACACCUGAGUAAUCUGUAACGCGUUCUGGGAUUAGCACUUGAAACGGUGUCUCCUCGUGGAUACGAGCUUACACCGCAUGGUGUGUGGGAGGAAAGAUUUAUCGGUUCUGGAAGCUCUCGCGGCCUAUCAGCUAGAUGGUGAGGUUAUGGCUCAUCAUGGCGACGCCGGGUAGCCGGCCUGAGAGGGUAACCGGCCACACUGGGACGGAGACACGGCCCAGACUCCUACGGGAGGCAGCAGAGGAGAAUAUUGCACAAUGGGCUGAAGCCAGAUGCAGCAACGCCGCGUGAGGGAUGACGGCCUUCGGGUUGUAAACCUCUUUUAUGAGGGAAGAAGCGAAAGUGACGGUACCUGCAGAAAAAGCACCGGCUAACUACGUG